AUUCAGUCAUGGACACAGCUGUGGAUGGGAAGGCCACAGUGUUCAGUCAGAGCAACGUACUGUACGACCUGGACAUGGGACUCAACAGGGCAGACCACUUUGAGCUGGACAGCAGUGAUUUCAAAAGGACAGAGAGGCAGAAGACUAGUGGAAGCAGGAAAUGCUUCACGUUCGUAGUGAUUUAUUUGAUCCUGCUGACAGCACUCAAUUCAUUCCUGCUUUACAAAGGUUGGCCCCGCUGGACUGCGUGUUGACCCGGGCCAAGGACAUGCUGGCGGCCUUCUGUGCUGCGGGGGCCAGGUCGACCUGGAGCGGGGGACGCCCUGCGUAGACACGAGCACAGGGCUAAACGUGGGCGACAUGGCGUGGCGUGGCAGUAAGAGCAGUCGUCUGGCAGUCGAAGGGUUGCCGGUUCGAUCCCCCGCCCGGGCUGUGUCGAAGUGUCCCUGAGUAAGACACCUAACCCCCAAAUUCUCCUGAUGAGCUGGUCGGGGCCUUGCAUGACAGCCAAUUGCCGUCGAUGUGUGAGUGUGUGUAUGAAUGGGUGAAUGGAGAUGCAUCAAUUGUACAGCCCUUUGGAUAAAGAAGCUAUAUAAAUGCCUGCCAUUUACCAUUUAUCAUUUAAACGGCCUUCUGCAGCCACUGCCAAAACCAAAAAAUAACAGCUUACACUUCAUUUACACCCAUUUACUGGGUAAAUACCAGCUACUUAUUUCAUUAUUGGGUAACUAUUUUGAUUUAGGUAAGUAGUAUGAAACAAAGUCAGUACCAUGAAAGAUACUUGUUAAAUAUUAUGAAAAUACUUUUUACGGCUGGUUUCAUAGUACCUGCCUCUGAAAUAAUAACUGUUACCGAAUAAUUAAUCACAAGUAACUGGUAUUUAUCCAGUAAAUAGUAGGUAAUUAACAGCCUGCGAAAUAAAGGGUUAAUGAAUAGGUAAAAAUCUUAACAAGCAUUGUAUUCUUAUAUUUAGACUUAAAGCAUAUUUCUGUCACUUUUUCAUUUGCUGAAUAAGACAAACAUAUUGCCAAUGAUGUGACACAGCAUGACUCUUAAUGAUUCACCCAAGGGGGUAAGAUCAUUGUAUUUGUCAAGUUAAAGCUAUAUAGCAACAAGCUAUACAGUAUGUUCUACUUGUGAGGAAUAAAUAAGAUUUUAAGUCUCAUUAGAAUACUGUGGAUAAUACUGUGGAUAAUGUGGAUAACACCGAUGUUUUAUUUUUGCUGUGUGUGCACACCCUUAUUAAUUUCCAGGUUGAUUCAUGUGUCACAAGAUAAACUCCCCUCUCUUUCUCUGUUCAUCCAAGUCUAACAUUGUGCUGCUUUUCAGUUUUAUCAAUUACUCUCCCAGUGAACAGGCUUUCUAUCUGCAACGCCUUUCAUUUACAAUUACAGACUGGUCAUUAUUCUUCAGUAUAUUUCAGUAUAACCAUUGGUCUUUGCUCAGGUGAAGUCUGAGAGAUGUGUGUUGUAUGUUGUAUGAUGUAUGUUAUAAAAUGUCUAUUCUGUUUUAUGCAUUAGCUUGGCAUGUAGUUCAGUCAUGGUUUUCAAAAUAUCCUCUUGAUAGCAAUAAGCCUGUCACCUCUGUUCCUCCAGGUCAGAGGUCAGAGGUCAAACAGCAGUUCACUCACCAGAGCAGCACAGACACUGCAGCAGGACCAGACUGAGAAUGGCCACCUUCAUUUUCCUUGCUUAACUACAGGAGAAAACAUCAGACCGCUGUCCUCUCUUCUUUAAAUAAAUGCCCCUCUGCCCCCUGCUCCUGUGCGCUGCCCCGCCCAUCCCCUCCCUCGUAACACAUGACCUUAUGUUCUGUUUGUUCCUCUUAGCCGCACAUUCAACACAAACACUAUCGACCCACGGGCAAACAGUCCAGUGCUUCAGAGUGGUACAUAGAUCCUUCAUUUUUGGCUCCCGUUGGAUAACAAAUGUGGUAAAAGAUUUCUACACAAAUACAAUUAUGAAUAUAACAGAUGGUUACAUUAGAUUUUUUAUUUAUUUAUUACAUUUGCUUGCAAUGGUGAACCGGUUUGUGAUUCACCACAUUCUACAUGAGAAAAACUCUGCUUUAACAUGUUCUGUCAAUCAAUUAAUUCACUCUGAAUAACCUUGACUACUGCACACCCAUGUGAAAAAAUAGUUUACGAAGCAUACAUUUAAAUUCUACUUUGAGUAUUCUUGAAUAUAAAAUAGCAUCCCUCUGGUAUACUUCACCAUAGUUAUUUCACAUGAGCACAGACAAACUUAAAUGCUUGUUGCGUAGCAUCUUUAAUGACGUACUGGAAGUACCCAAUCAUCACAGUUUAUUUGAAUCAGAUCCAGGGUGAUGACAUCACUGAUUAAAACAGCAAGGCCCCUAGUAACCCUCACCAUGGGAACACUGGACUGCUGCCAUUCCAUUCUCCCCAUGUAGAGGCUUUUGCACCUGAGAUCCGUGUACACCUUAGAUUAGAAAUUCUGGAAUUACAGCAGAGCAGUCCAGGUGUUAGAUGUUAAAUGUCCUGCCCUGUGCUUCCUCUGUCCAUGAACCCAGCUGAUUUCACUGAUUAGUUCUGUCUUCUGGCUGAAGACUCAGGCGUUACCUUUCUGACGCUUACCUUACCUUACCUUCCUGAACCCGGAGCCACCUCGGAAUUUGGGCUGCAGCCAUGUUAGGAAAACCCCAGGCCUACCAUCUCAGGGUGGUGUGCUUUAGUCAUUUCCACAAGCAUUUUUCUUUCUUUGUACUUUCUGCCCCCUGCUGGUGUUCCUGUGCUACUUCUCUCCCUCACAUGAAUCCGAUGAAGUCUUUAAAGGAUGCAAAUUCCGUGUUCAAUGUCCGCCAACAGCCGUUGCCCUUGAUCCCCUUCGCGGAAGCAAAGGCUCUCCGUCUCGUUAAUGUUAGGCAUGGGUCCACAGUUCCCACACUGACACACUGUUCCCAUUUCUCUGCUCUGUGUUAGCUUCGGCUGUUUUUCUUGGUCAAAAUCUAAAGGUUUGUCCUCUAAUUCGGUGAAGUCAGAGCUGUCCAUCAAAUCAAUGAGGCUAGCCAAAUUAGGUUCGUGAUAUUUCUAUGCUAAAUUACUGUAUUUUCGUAGGAGUGUCAUGUAAUUGCCUGGAUGAGUAGCUGUCCAUAAACCAGUCUCUGUGUUCAAGGGUGGAGUUUGAGCUCCCGUUACCUUCUGGGAAACACAGGCUGGAGAUUCAAGCCAAACACGUCCAGUGACAUCACUGGACGUGUUUGUUAUGAGAAGUUUUGCCCCAUAUUUAGGAAAUGGCUACAAAGACGGUGAUUUUAAAAAGGCCUACACACAUAAUUUAAGCAUUUAAUCCAAAUAAGCUCAACUGCUCAACUGAAACAAGCCUGACAGUGCUCCUUUAAGCACUCAAACUAUUGAUGGACUACAGUGUGCAUGGAGUUUGUGUUAUUUGCUUGACAUGGUCGAAAGUGUCAACAUCAGUCUUCUCCAGCAGGAAAGCCAAGGACACCCAUGCAGCCCUUUCCAAAUGUUCAUAUGACUCAUGACUAUGUUUACAAUAAAUGUACCAAUACAGGCUUUCAGACAAAACAGUGUCAUGUAUAGAUAGCCACGUUUUACUAUUGAUCCACUUUCCUUUUAAAUCUGCAAAUGGCUUGAAACUACAUUGUAUGGCGUUGUGGUAUGUGCAUUAAGCAUCAGCAACAGUAUGGAAAUCAAAGCAUUGUGAUAUCGACUAAUCAGUCCAAACAUUUCCAUCUAUUCCUUUGUGGGGAUUAAAUGGGCGGAGAUCAAUUUAUUACCUCUGUGCUAUUGGGUCCACAUCAUUUAUGACAUCAAGAGGGACCUGGCCAAUAAAUGUUUUAAUCUCAUCGACUAUCUCCUCCCAUUGUUUCAUGAGAUUUUUAUACCGGGAUUUGUAGCUAGAACUAUGCAGUGGCAUGAUGGUGCAGUGGAAAACACAAUUUCUGCAGAACAAAUACAGUACGUCCUCCAUCAAAAUCCCAACCUGGGCCUUUCCGUGUGGAUUAUGUAGCUCUUAAUCCCUUUAGCAACUUUAUCCCUCUCCCAGUCUCCCUCCUUCUCCAAAGCGAUUAGCCGGCGGGCGGCACAUUUUGGGAGGUGAUGAGGAGGGCUAUGGGGUGGGGAGGCAGUCCACAUCACGCCAUACAAUCCUGACACAAAUGUCUGAUUUUAAAUGUGUGUUUUUAUAGUUAUUGGUAAUAAUUUGUAUAUAUGUUUGGUUAUGUGUAGUGGAUACAUUCCUCUGUGAUAAUCUAUUGAGGCAUUAAAGUGAAACUAUUUGUAA